GGGGGUGGAUGGGGCCUGGUGGCUCUCCUGGUCUUCAAAACCAGUCGUGGGGCGGCGAUCCCGUCCCGGGUGAGUUCGAUUCUCACACACUCCCGCCA
rnacentral:tRNA from 1 species